rnacentral:lncRNA from 11 species
CCCCCUCCUCCUCCUCAUCGCUUCCAACAACCCCCUCCCCAAGGCUCCGCCCUGGACCUCGAGGAAAGAGAGGAAAAGAAAGGAGGGAGGCAGGCAAGGCGAGCUGAUGAUCUGAUCCAGUUUUCACUCAUUACAAACCUCUCCGCCACCACCAUCAUCAUGGUCCAUAAAUGCUGUAAACAUCCAGUGGAUUAUUACCACCUGUACACGAUCUAACAAAAUGUUCAAUAAGAAGAUUUUAUAUAGUCCCUUGGUCCUUCUCUCUUUUCCCCAAGGAAAAUGACACAGGUGAUGUGGCUUGCCAAUUCACACAUGGAAUUAUACAUUUGCCUUAAUCCAAAGUGUUAUCCUCUUAACCAAGAAAGAAAAAAAGGAAAAGAAA